UACGUAGGUGGCGAGCGUUGUCCGGAUUUACUGGGCGUAAAGAGCGCGCAGGCGGCUGGUCAAGUCCGAUGUGAAAGCUCCCGGCUUAACUGGGAAAUUGCAUCGGAAACUGAUCGGCUGGAAGGUGGGAGAGGGUAGCGGAAUUCCCGGUGUAGUGGUGAAAUGCGUUGAGAUCCACAGGAACUCCGGUGGCGAAGGCGGC
rnacentral:rRNA from 1 species